rnacentral:rRNA from 1 species
AGUGAACGCUGGCGGUAGGCCUAACACAUGCAAGUCGAACGGCAGCACAGGAGAGCUUGCUCUCUGGGUGGCGAGUGGCGGACGGGUGAGGAAUACAUCGGAAUCUACUUUUUCGUGGGGGAUAACGUAGGGAAACUUACGCUAAUACCGCAUACGACCUACGGUUGAAAGCAGGGGACCUUCGGGCCUUGCACGAUUGAAUGAGCCGAUGUCGGAUUAGCUAGUUGGCGGGGUAAAGGCCCACCAAGGCGACGAUCCGUAGCUGGUCUGAGAGGAUGAUCAGCCACACUGGAACUGAGACACGGUCCAGACUCCGACGGGAGGCAGCAGUGGGGAAUAUUGGACAAUGGGCGCAAGCCUGAUCCAGCCAUACCGCGUGGGUGAAGAAGGCCUUCGGGUUGUAAAGCCCUUUUGUUGGGAAAGAAAUCCAGCUGGCUAAUACCGGGUUGGGAUGACGGUACCCAAAGAAUAAGCACCGGCUAACUUCGUGCCAGCCGCCGCAGUAA